CCACCCCCUGCACCUCUAAAAUUUGCCCCUCAUUUUGUUGUGUGCUUACGGUCGAAAGGCCGGUGAGCUCGACGGGGCUCCAUGGACGGCGCACCGAGGCGAGGAAGAGAAAGUACGCUCUGUGUCCCCUUGGACAGCGAGCCAACAGGCUGUUUGUGGACAGGCCACGAGGAUGGGUGGAUCCAGGUGUGUGGUGCAUGGACCUCGCCGCGGCGCCGGCAGCUGCGGGAGAUGGCGGCGAGGACACGCCCAUGUUCAAGGGGUUCCUGUCAUGGGAGGUGUGCAGCCGCAUGCCGGUGCUCUCCUUGGUCAUGAUGUCAUACAGCGAGAAAAUAACUCGUUUCCUUGUUCGCCCCUAGCAGUUUUGUUUUUCAUCAACUGCUUUAAGCAAAUGGAAAAUCUGCAGUAGAUUGAAAGGACGGUGUGCUGAAUCCGGCAAUAGCACCAACAGCCCUUAUUAGUUACUCAGAACUGAAAGCAAAGAAUGCUGUGUUGCGCUGUGGUAAAAUAACUAGCAGCCCUUAUUACAACUGAAAGCAAAGGAUUUUGCCCAGUCACUCACUCAUUCAUCCUCCAGUUCGACUUCUAUCAUAUAUUCAUAUGAAAAGAGUUAGCUGAUGAAUUGCUCAAUUUACAUUUCAGAUUAUACAAAUCAGACUUGUUCCAUUUAUGUCUAUUUUUCCCAUGAUUGAAAAAAUAAUUCAUUUAUCAAACAUUGGGGUAAACAAUGCUUCCCAUGACCUUAAUUGAGUUGCAGUCCAUGUGCAAAGCAUUUGUUCCUUAGACUUCUGUUUUGUUGUUGAAUCUAGGAUGAUAAACCUACUGUGCCUUGUUUCUCAGAACUGAAGAACGAAACAAAUUCGGUGAAGCCAGGACCAUCUGUAGGAACUACUGCUAUUGGUGGUUCAUUCAUUCUUCUAAUUCGUGAUGGGAAAUCUGUUACUAAAAAGGAUUUCUUGGACGAAAGGAUAAAACUAGAAAUCUUGCCAGUAUUCGUCUUAGUUUAUCCUGAAGAGACAUUAGUUGAGCAUAAAGGUAUCUAAUGGUAAUGGAGGAUGGCCCAUUUCGUCUACUUAAGGACAUACUCUAAGAGGUGUCUUUCAAUUCUCUAGAACAGAAAGGGUCAAGUACUCCAGGAGUUUGGUGUUACUCUAAGAGUGAUCUUCAGGAAAUAUAUAUAAUGAAGAUGCCUUGUAUGCUUCUGACAGAAUAUGUAUUCAGUCCAAAUCAGAUGACAUAAAAUCUAUGGCAAAGAGUGGUAGAAGAAACCAUGUCAAACAACUGGAGCAGCACAUAACACCUUGGGGAAAGAGGUAAUCACUGUAAAUGCUAUUGACUACUCAUCUUUGAGGCUUCGUGGACUUCCAUUUUUCAUUAAAAUAACUUGUAGAAAUUGUCCUACGUCACACGUCGAUAUCGUGAUACAACAAGACCUUUUGAGUGGGAUGCACUGCUAACAGGAUCCCCCAAUCAGCAUGAAUUCAAUUGAAAUUUCAAUUUUGAAAUAACCGUCUAGUCCGUCCUGCUACUCCGGUGAUCUCUUGCUCCGUCUGUGGAGAUAAUCUCCCGUACGGGAGCAGCAACAAGCGCCUUGGCUGCCCAGCAGCAGUGAAGAAGCGCCUCAGGACGGGCGGCACGGAGGCGAUGUCUCUCAGCGCAGGCAAACACUUCCUGCCCCCAGGCACAAGGUAGAGGCCACUUCUUCCAGAAGUAGCGGGGACAUGGAUGGGUCAUCCUCCAAAGUUAGAGGUGAUGCACAACCUGACAACCAUGAGAACCAUGGCCAGCCAUCAGCUUGGGGCCUCCUCGGACAUCAGCCAUGACCACCACGGCAACGCUGCUACUUGCAUCAAAUUUUAGUCCAAACACCUGUGUGAGGAAUCAAAACAGAUAUGAUCAGUUCGGUCUUAUCAAUGGGUAAGAGCAGAAAUAUUCACAUGUUUAUCCAGGCCUCAAUGUGGACCGAAACAGCCAGGUACCAAGAGAACUCUUGGCUAUGAUCAUGAAGAACUUCAUGCGCUAGCAAAUGCAACCAAAAGACCGAUCUGAUAGAAAAGCUAUGUAAUCCACUUAUACUUAACACUUUACACAAGGCGGGUAGCCUGAGUCAGAUGAUACUACAAGCUCCAUCUCCAAAAUCACGUAACUGUGAAUUGUGUAAUAAGUAUUGGAUCUGGAGUUUUCAAGAUGUAUUGAGAUUUAAUAAUUUUAGAGAUAGAUCUUGUAUAAAGGAAAAUAAGUACUCUCUCCCAUCCAAAAUAAGUGUAUUUGUUUUAGUACAAUUUUGUAUUAAAUCAACGAAACUUGUUAUGAAUCGGAGAGAAAUGUUACUUUUCCAGAAUGUGAA